GGUACUGGUCGUUGAUGCCGAAAUCUGUUCCUUUGAGUUCUCUUCCUUUGCUGAGUAUGAGCUGUUUGUGCUUGUAAUGUUCAACUUUCGCCAUGAUAGGUCUUGGAUGUUUGUUUUCAGUGUUUUUUCUUCCUAAUUUGGUGAUCAUAAACUCCGUUACGACGUUUUCUGGGAUUUCAGCUGUUUUCUCUGGGAUGCCAGAGAACACUAUGUUGUCUCUCAUACUGCGCACUUGUAAGCCAAGAAUUGUCUCUUUCAUUUCUUUGUUUUCUUUUAUUACAGAUGAGAGUUGGGUUGUUAUGUUGUUUAUGCUUUGCUGUAGCGUUUUAUUUUCCUUUGUUAAUGACGUGAUUUGACUCAACUCUACCCUAUUCUUCAUUAGUCAGGUUCUGUUGACAAGGCUGCUGCUGUCCAGAUAUUAUCUGGGUGGUGGUCUAUUCUCAGCACAUCAGUGACACUGAUAUGUUAAUGUGUGUGGUGCUGAUGUUUGUGGAGUUUUUGCACACGUCAUUGUCACUGCAAGGAUGAGAGUGGACCACCACCUGAAAUAUCCAGCUAAGAGCAGCUCUGUGAUCUGCAUGACCAUUGAUGAAGAGCUAGAGAGGGGCUUGCCAGUUCCAGCCCUGGAGAUCUGCCGCCCUGGAGAGCUCCAACACAGCAGACUCUCUGAAACUGGAUUACAUGUGCAGUUUUAGGGCUGCAACUAAAUUCUGCAGGAUGGUAGAUCUCCAUGACCAGCUACGCACUCCUGACCAAUUAAAGACAAAAAAAAUAAUAAAAUGUAUUUGUUUAUUUUCCCAAAGGGAGAGGAGUUUGUGCGACACAGAACAUUGACAAAGGAGAUUUUCUUCUUGAGUGCAGAGGUGAAGUUCUUACUCAAAAGGAGACUCUGGACAGAAAGACACAAUAUGAUGAUGUCAAAAAGGCUUUCCUUUUUGAUUUUCAGUGGAAAGAAAAAAGGUGGUGCAUGCCUUCCAGACCCUAUCUGCGGAGCAAAUCAGGAUUCCUCAUGAGACCCUCGAGAGCUCACCAGAUGACAGACAGGUAAUUGGAGGAAAGUUUCUUGACGUUUAACAGCUUAAUUUUGAGGAAAUGAUGUAUUUGUUUUGUUGGUGAUCAGAGAAUCUGGAAUUGGGACAUUUUACAUACACUAAAUAGCUUUGAGUUCCUAGGUUCUACUUGGAGUGUGCAAGUUCUCAUUCUGACUCAUCUGUAGUGUAACUGCCCAGUAGGGCUGCAACAAACGACUAAUUUCAUAGUCGAAUAAUCUAUUGAUUACUGAAACGAAUAAUCGAUUAUUCGGAUUAUGAAUCACAACAUUACAAAAUAACUUUUACGUAGUUUUUAGCUUUUAAAUUUAGCUUUAGGGUUGUUUUAUCCAUUUGCUAUCUAACAGUGAAGACAAUAAAGAUGAAUACUAUUCAAGAAUUCACUGUAUUUAUGAACUUUGAACAUGUGCAAUGUAGUAGCAAUAAAAUAUAACUAAAUCCGUUUUUCUUUAAUCUUGAAGUAAUCUACCUGAGGAGCACAGCAAGAUUCCUUAUGAGACCCUCGGGAGUUCGUCUGAUGCCAGACAGCUUGCAUUCAUAUAGAUCAUGUAGAUCUUUGCAGAAGUCCUUCCAUUGCCGCCAAGGUGAAAACUACUCCUAAUGAAACAGACCACGUCUUGUCUUCAGUGAUGUCUCAUUCACUAAG